rnacentral:rRNA from 1 species
UAGUACAUUGAAAACUGAAUAUAAUCCAAGAAAAACCGAGAAACAAUCAAAGAGAACAGAUUGCAAGAGCGACCGAGAGAGUUCGAAAAGAACGAAUGACUUAAGGAAAGGUCAAGAAAAGAAGGGCGCACGGUGAAUGCCUAGGCACAAUAAGGCGAAGAAGGACGUGACGAACCACGAAAGGCUUCGGGGAGCAGUAAGUACGCAAUGAUCCGGAGAUCUCCGAAUGGGGGAACCCAAUGCAGUGAUGCAUUACUAUAUACUGAAUAGAUAGGUAUAUAGGGCAAGACGCAGUGAACUGAAACAUCUAAGUAGCUGCAGGAAGAGAAAGAAAAAUCGAUUUCCCAAGUAGCGGCGAGCGAAACGGAAAGAGCCCAAACCAUAUGAUUUAUCAUAUGGGGUUGUAGGACUGCGACAAGGUAGUAAGGCGGAUAGCAGAAUUAUCUGGGAAGGUAAGCCAGAGAGGGUGAGAGCCCCGUAAGCGAAAUCCAAGAGACGCCGAGCAGAAUCCUGAGUAGGUCGGGACACGAGGAAUCCCGAUUGAAGCAGCGAGGACCAUCUCGCAAGGCUAAAUACUAAAUUGUGACCGAUAGUGAACCAGUACCGUGAGGGAAAGGUGAAAAGAACCCCGGAAGGGGAGUGAAAGAGAACCUGAAACCGUGUGCCUACAAGUAGUCAAAGCCCAUUAAAGGGUGAUGGCGUGCCUUUUGUAGAAUGAACCGGCGAGUUACGUUAAUUAGCGAGGUUAAGUCAGAAAAGACGGAGCCGGAGCGAAAGCGAGUCUGAAAAGGGCGAGAUAGUUAGUUGAUGUAGACCCGAAACCAAGUGACCUACCCAUGACCAGGUUGAAGGUGCGGUAAAACGCACUGGAGGACCGAACCCACGUAAGUUAAAAAUUGCGGGGAUGAGUUGUGGGUAGCGGUGAAAUUCCAAACGAACUUGGAGAUAGCUGGUUCUCUCCGAAAUAGCUUUAGGGCUAGCCUGGUGCGAGGAUGAUAAUGGAGGUAGAGCUCUGUUUGGAUGAGGGGCCCAUCAAGGGUUACUGAGUUCAGAUAAACUGCGAAUACCAUAUAUCAAAGCACUGGAGUCAGACUGCGAGUGAUAAGAUCCGUAGUCGAAAGGGAAACAGCCCAGAUCACCAGUUAAGGUCCCAAAAUCUAUGCUAAGUGGAAAAGGAUGUGGAGUUGCGUAGACAACUAGGAUGUUGGCUUAGAAGCAGCCAUCAUUAAAAGAGUGCGUAAUAGCUCACUAGUCGAGUGACGCUGCGCCGAAAAUUUACCGGGGCUAAGCAUAGUACCGAAACUGUGGAUGUGUAGUAAUACACGUGGUAGGAGAGCGUUCUAAGUGCGGCGAAGCUUAAUCGAGAGGAUAAGUGGAGCGCUUAGAAGUGAGAAUGCCGGUAUGAGUAGCGCAAGAUAGGUGAGAAUCCUAUCCGCCGAAAGACUAAGGUUUCCUGGGGCAGGCUCGUCCGCCCAGGGUAAGUCGGGACCUAAGGCGAGGCCGAAAGGCGUAGUCGAUGGACAACAGGUAGAAAUUCCUGUACUGCGUUAGAUCGUUAAUAACGAAGGAGGGACGCAGGAGGCAAAGAACGCAUGGUGCUGGAUAUCCAUGUUUAAGCAAUAAGUGUAGAUAAGAGUUAAAUGCUUCUAUCUAGAAAGCACGAGUUGUGAUGAGGAGCGAAAUAAAAGUAGCGAAGGUUCAAGAGUCACACUGCCAAGAAAAGCUUCUAGUGAGAGCUAACGUACCCGUACCGCAAACCGACACAGGUAGUCGAGUGGAGAACACUAAGGUGAGCGAGAGAACUCUCGUUAAGGAACUCGGCAAAAUAGCCCCGUAACUUCGGGAGAAGGGGUGCUGGUGUAACAGCCAGCCGCAGUGAAUAGGCCCAAACAACUGUUUAUCAAAAACACAGGUCUCUGCAAAGUCGAAAGACGACGUAUAGGGGCUGACACCUGCCCGGUGCUGGAAGGUUAAGGAGAGUUGUCAGCGCAAGCGAAGCAACGAACUGAAGCCCCAGUAAACGGCGGCCGUAACUAUAACGGUCCUAAGGUAGCGAAAUUCCUUGUCGGGUAAGUUCCGACCUGCACGAAAGGUGUAAUGAUUUGGGCACUGUCUCAACGAGAGACUCGGUGAAAUUAUAAUACCCGUGAAGAUGCGGGUUACCCGCGACAGGACGGAAAGACCCCAUGGAGCUUUACUGCAAUUUGAUAUUGAGUAGCUGUUAAACAUGUACAGGAUAGGUAGGAGCCAGAGAAGAUAGCACGCCAGUGUUAUCAGAGGCAAUGUUGGGAUACUACCCUUGUUUGAUGGCUGCUCUAAC